rnacentral:pre_miRNA from 1 species
GUAAUACUCCCUCUGUCCGAAAAAGUUUGUCCCUCAAAUGGAUGUAUCUAGCACUAACUUGAUGCUAGAUACAUCCAUUUGAGGGACAAGUUUUUUCGGCCGGAGGGAGUAUUAA